rnacentral:rRNA from 1 species
AUUGAACGCUGGCGGCAUGCUUUACACAUGCAAGUCGGACGAGUGGCGCACGGGUGAGUAAUAUAUCGGAACGUACCGAGUAAUGGGGGAUAACUAAUCGAAAUAUUAGCUAAUACCGCAUAUUAUUCGAGCGGCCGAUAUCUGAUUAGCUAGUGGGUGGGGUAAAGGCCUACCAAGGCGACGAUCAGUAGCGGGUCUGAGAGGAUGAUCCGCCAGACUGGGACUGAGAAACGGCCCAGACUCCUACGGGAGGCAGCAGUGAGGAAUAUUGGUCAAUGGGCGGUAGCCUGAACCAGCCAAGUAGCGUGAAGGAGGAAGGUCUAUGGGUCGUAAACUGCUUUUGUAUGGGGAUAGGUACCAUACGAAUAAGGACCGGCUAAUUCCGUGCCAGCAGCCGCGGUAAUUC